rnacentral:rRNA from 1 species
UACGUAGGGUGCAAGCGUUGUCCGGAAUUAUUGGGCGUAAAGAGCUCGUAGGCGGUCUGUCGCGUCUGCUGUGAAAACUCAGGGCUUAACCCUGAGCUUGCAGUGGGUACGGGGCAGACUAGAGUGCGGUAGGGGAGACUGGAAUUCCUGGUGUAGCGGUGAAAUGCGCAGAUAUCAGGAGGAACACCGAUGGCGAAGGCAGGUCUCUGGGCAUUA